AUGGUGACCAUGAAGACGAAGGAGCUGGAGGACGGGGUGCCCGAGGAGCGCGUGCCGCACCUGCCAUGGAUGCGGCACCCGGUUGACAUCGACUCCUUCUUGGGCUGCCCUGUGAUGAGCCUCCCCCGCCUAGACCCCAGUAAGGUGCUUGCGUGCUUUGAUUGUGCUACCUACACGGGAUUUAGCAUUGCAGAGGUUUUUGAUGCUAUUGCUCCUGUGGUGGGCUUGGCAGUAGCAUCAGCAGUUGGUCAAUCGUCCAUCGCGGAUGAAAUCUCAGAUCUGAUCAAGAAGUCCAAACAAGAGCUUUACCCAUCUCUUGAUGAUGAAUAUGUUGAAAUGGAACCACAGACUAAAGUUGAUAUAUUGGUGGCAACUCCUGGAAGAUUGAUGGAUCAUAUCAAAAUGACAAAAGGUUUUAGUCUGGAGCAUCUUCAAUACCUGGUUGUUGAUGAGACAGAUAGGAUGUUAAGAGAGGCAUAUCAGUCCUGGUUACCAACAGUUAUCCAGUUUACUCUCCCAACUAAUCAAGAUCAUUUCCAGGAUGACACUGCUGGACGAACUCUACUGCAUCCAUUGACUACCAUUAGAAGAUCGGGUGUCGAGCGAGGGUUUAAAGGUAAAUGCUAUCCAAGACUGGCAAAGAUAGUCUGUUCUGCUACACUGACGCAAGAUCCCAGCAAACUUUCUCAACUUGAGCUGCAUCAUCCUUUGCUGUUGAAUAGUGGGAAGAAGCGUUACAGAAUUCCUACAAAGCUGGAGUCCUACAAGCUGAUCUGUACAUCAAACAUAAAGCCGCUAUGUCUCAUUGUUCUUCUCCAAGAGCUGUGCGGGGAGAAGUGCUUGGUUUUUACUAAAUCUGUAGAUGAUAGUCACAGACUAAGCACUUUCCUGGGAUUUUUCGAAGAGUUGCCCUUUAAGUUUAGUAAAUUUUCAAGUUUGCAGCGUGAAUCUACUCGAAGGAAGACAUUGGCAGCCUUCAAGGAAGGGAAAAUAGAUGUUCUGAUUGGCUCAGAUAUAAUGGCUCGAGGAAUACAUAUUGAUGGUUUAAAAUAUGUUAUCAACUACGAGAUGCCACAGUAUGUGAAAACAUACAUCCACCGAGCAGGCCGGACUGCCAGGGCAGGCGAAUCUGGUUCUUGCUUCACGUUUUUAAGGAAAAAUGAGGUUAAAAAAUUUGACAAUAUGCUGAAGAAGGCAGGUGGUUCUAGCUGCAUCCUACGCUCCCUGCCCGAGGAACCAAUAGAAAGCCUUCGCCCACUUUUUGAGGCUGCUCUGGAGAAACUGAACGGGUCUGUGGAACCAGAAGCAUCAAAGAAGUCUAAUAAGUCGGGAGAUAAAGCGCCGGGAUCUUUGAAAAGAAAGAGAAGCAAACAAACGUGA
rnacentral:rRNA from 1 species